rnacentral:misc_RNA from 1 species
UUUCCGUAGGUGAACCUGCGGAAGGAUCAUUAUUGUAUAACCGAGGUGCGAGGGCUGUCGCUGACCCGAAAGGUCGUGCACGCCCGAGUGCCCUCACACACAUCCAUCUCACCCCUAUGUGCACCACCGCGUGGGUCCCCCUUUGGCUUGUUCGGAGGGGGGCUUACGUUUUCACACAAACUUAGUAUGCAGUGUAGAAUGUAUUUUUUGUUUUUGCGAUCACGCAAUCAAUACAACUCUCAACAACGGAUCUCUUGGCUCUC